UACGAAGGGGGCUAGCGUUGCUCGGAAUCACUGGGCGUAAAGCGCACGUAGGCGGAUUGCUAAGUCAGGGGUGAAAUCCUGGAGCUCAACUCCAGAACUGCCUUUGAUACUGAGGAUCUUGAGUUCGGGAGAGGUGAGUGGAACUGCGAGUGUAGAGGUGAAAUUCGUAGAUAUUCGCAAGAACACCAGUGGCGAAGGCGGCUCACUGGUCCGGUACUGACGCUGAGGUGCGAAAGCGUGGGGAGCAAACAGG
rnacentral:rRNA from 1 species